GCUUCCUAAACUGGGGGAGGAGCCUCCGCUAAGGACGUUGCGGGAGGUGGGGCCAAGCUUCUGGUAGCUUGGGGAUGCCCUGCAGAUGAGGAAACUAAGGCUGUCAGAUUGACUUGCCCAGUCACACAGCUGUUAAACAUCCUGAGGCACAUUCAAACAAAGGGUUUUCCUACAGCAAAUCCAGUGCGAUACCUGAUAGUGCACCACUUUAUGUAAGAUGCUGCUGAUUUUUCUUUUUUUAAUUACUUUUAAAAUUUUUUAAUAAACGUUUUAUUUUCAAAA